rnacentral:rRNA from 1 species
UACGUAGGGGGCCAGCGUUGCUCGGAAUUACUGGGCGUAAAGGGUUCGUAGGUGGUGCGGCAAGUUGGGAGUGAAAUCUCUGGGCUUAACCCAGAGGCUGCUUUCAAAACUGCCGUGCUCGAGUGCGAGAGAGGUCAGUGGAAUUGCAGGUGUAGCGGUGAAAUGCGUAGAUAUCUGCAGGAACACCCGUGGCGAAGGCGGCUGACUGGAUCGCAACUGACACUGAGGAACGAAAGCUAGGGGAGCAAACAGG